rnacentral:rRNA from 1 species
GACGAACGCUGGCGGCGUGCUUAACACAUGCAAGUCGAACGGUAAGGCUCUAGCUUGCUGGGGUGCACGAGUGGCGAACGGGUGAGUAACACGUGGGUGACCUGCCCUUCACUUCGGGAUAAGCCUAGGAAACUGGGUCUAAUACCGGAUAGGACCAUGUGCUGGAUGCUGUGGGGGAAAGAUUUUUCGGUGUGGGAUGGGCCCGCGGCCUAUCAGCUUGUUGGUGGGGUAGUGGCCUACCAAGGCGGCGACGGGUAGCCGGCCUGAGAGGGUGGACGGCCACAUUGGGACUGAGACACGGCCCAGACUCCUACGGGAGGCAGCAGUGGGGAAUAUUGCACAAUGGGCGGAAGCCUGAUGCAGCGACGCCGCGUGGGGGAUGACGGCCUUCGGGUUGUAAACUGCUUUCGCCUUCGACGAAGGGUUUCUGACGGUAGAUGGAGAAGAAGCACCGGCUAACUACGUG